rfam:Ictidomys tridecemlineatus contig103084, whole genome shotgun sequence.
UAGCUCAAUUGGUAGAGUGCUUGCCUUGCAUGCACAAGGCCCUGGGUUCAAUCCCCAG